rnacentral:rRNA from 1 species
CACUGUGAGGUGGAACGAGCCGCCGGGGGCUAAUACCCCUUCGGCCCGACGGUACCACCAGAGGAAGCACCGGCUAACCCUGUGCCAGCAGCCGCGGUAAUACAGGGGGUGCAAGCGUUGUUCGGAAUUAUUGGGCGUAAAGCGCGUGUAGGCGGACCAUUAAGUCUGGUGUGAAAUCCCUCGGCUUAACCGAGGACGUGCAUUGGAUACUGGUGGUCUUGAGUCCUGGAGAGGGUAGCGGAAUUCCCAGUGUAGAGGUGAAAUUCGUAGAUAUUGGGAGGAACACCGGUGGCGAAGGCGGCUACCUGGACAGUGACUGACGCUGAGACGCGAAAGCAUGGGUAGCAAACAGGAUUAGAUACCCUGGUAGUCCAUGCCGUAAACGAUGGGUGCUAGUUGGUGCGGGUAUUGACCCCUGCGCUGACGAAGCUAACGCGUUAAGCACCCGCCUGGGAGUACGGCCGCAAGGCUAAACUCAAAGGAAUUGACGGGG